AUUGCUGGGAGUUAUUGGAAGUGCCUGGGGGCUUUCUGCCUGCAGCAGGAGGCUGCUCAGCUCACACCCUGAUUUUUGGGGGCCACCGCAGUGAUGGUGCUGGGCUUCUAAUCUGAUUUUUUUGGUUGCUGGUUUCUGCUGGCCUCCUUUGCCCUGUUUUUUUGGAGCCAGCUGUUGCUGCCAGGCUCAGAGCUUACUUUUCUGGGGCAAGAAUAAAGUUGCAGUUCCUGGGUUCUCAUGCUUUUUGAGGCUAGUGCAUGUUGACUGUGCAGGUGAUGGCUGUAGCGGGGCCUCUUGCAGUAAGGAUCAGCCCAAAUCUGUGAGCAGUUCUGGCAGCGAUGGGACCAUGGAGGCUGAGUGCUAGGGAUCCAGGGGUGUGCACUCCUUCCCCCACCAUGGGGUCUACUUCUGAGUGUCAUGCACUGGGGGGCUCCAAGAUAGUAAGGAUGCAGCAGAUACAUGAGAAGACUUUCACGAGCCUUCACAUUCAGAAUACACUGAGGGAGAUGCUGACUUUAUGUUGCUUCUGACUAAGGAGAACAUCAUUGGAAGGCUCACUCCAGAUGAUCUUUAUCUUUCCUGAAGAGUGUGAUAUCCACAGCUGGACACAGCACUCUGAGUGAGUGCUUAUAUACGCUACCUCUGACUGCAUUAGACAGUCUUUAUUCCUACAAUGCUCAGCUCUGAGGUUGAAUCAUCAUUAAAACACAUACUUCCAUGGAAUAAUAUAGAAUAUGAAACAAAACAUGUAGAUGGCAAAGUGAGGUUCUCUAGGAGCCUUCUUUUAGUUUUUGGUUGAAUUGAAACUUUUCAGUAAAUACCAGUAACUGAUGAGAUGAAUGAGAAUGGAUGACGUAUACGGAAAAGGUGAAAGGUACCAACUGCUUUUGUUAGAAAGCUCGUACUAAACAAAAUGUGGCAGCAUGUGGGAAGAGUUAAAAGGCAUUCUGUCAGUCCCAGGGGCAGGUAGAAGGAACUAGAAUUUGACAUGGAAGUGGAAAGGAAAAUAAUUAAAGGGCGUGGACAAUUAAUAUACCUACCUACCUACUUAGUGCUGUUUCCAUUUGGAGUACUUCUGGUGAUUGCAUCCUACAGCAUGAAGAAUUAAAUCCUUUACUCUUACUCUAAACAAAACUAAGCCAGAUAUCAGUGCAUUGGUUGUGUUUUUAGUUGCUUCUUCAAAGCAGGAGUACCUACAGACUCAGGAACACAAUCUUGUUUGCUGGAGAAUAGCAGUGUAGAGAAUAAACCUUACAUUGCCUUCCAGCAACUAUAUACUACUUGGCUCCUUGAUUAGAAAAAAUGGAGACCACUGUGGGAUCAAAUGGUUUUUGCACUUCAUUUGGAUGUGUGCUAUGAGGUCCAGCCAGCACCCAAGCUUUCUUGAGUCCAAGUCAGGAGGGCAGAUUCCUGUUUCUGUCACUGGACACUUGGAAAGAACCAGUACAAGUAUUUCUCCUCUCAGUCAAGGAACUGAAACUUAAGGAAUGAAAAACUGACAAGAGAAUGAAAGCGAUGACUGCACUCAGAGAAGGAAAAUCUGUUAAAAGCAAGACGUAGUCAUUUUGCUUUCCUGGAUUUCUUUAAAGCAAACCUAUUUAUGAAACAAGAUAACAUAGUCUACAGGGAUCCACUUUACCGCAGCAGUAGUUUGGCUGAAAGGAAUCCACUGUUUGCUUACCCCCAUUCCCAUCACUCACGCUUUCCUGACAGUUUGCAGAUCAGCUCACUGCCACAAGAAAUGGGUCAGCAUAGCAGCACAGCAUCACAUGCCCUAGAUCAGGGAGGACUUGAAUGCCUAUCUGAGCCUUCUCAGCACGCUCUGGACACCAACAUGCAGCCAGCUUUUUGCCUAGCACAGCCUGCUACUCAUCUGUGCUUAGGGCACAGUGAUGGAUUGGGUGGCUACUGCUGAAGAGAGUAAUCGCUCCCUGUGUUUAAACAGAUCGCAGAUCUGGAAUCCCAUCUGAUUCACCCCCAGCUUGUUGUACUUCCUUUUGAGUCAUUUUUGACAGAUUAGACCUUUUUACCUCUUCAGAAUGGAAGCUUUCAUUGUCCUUGUGUUACAUCUCAUUAUGGUUACCAUACAUGUAGGCAGAUGACCUCAGGCAAAAAUGGAGUCUUUCAAUAAAUUGGCAUAUUUAC
ensembl:lncRNA